rnacentral:tRNA from 1 species
ACUUGGCUGGCUCAGUCAGUGGAGCAUGUGACUUUUGAUCACAAGGUUGUGAGUUCAUGCCUCAUGCUCGGUG